AAAAAUUAGGGAUUUGGCAAGUAACUGCAUCCUGACAAGACUUUGUUCUUCAAGCUGUCGUCUGUCAAAGAUUCUCGCUCAGUCACCGUCAGUUGAAGCUUCAAACACAUUGGAUUCAGAGUUGGUGGAGAAAUGGUCAUUAUGUUCAAUGUAGCCCUUUUUCAAAUAUAUAUCACCAAUUUCAAAUUUGUAAAGAUCCAUGGAGUCUUGCCAUUU
rnacentral:lncRNA from 1 species